rnacentral:lncRNA from 1 species
ACUACAAAAUUGUUGGCAUAUAGAACGGGUUGCUAUCAAUAUUUAUAGCAAUAUCUGAGCUAACUUGGCAGCCAUGUCACAUGGUGUCAUUGGCUUUGCAUGAGGAUUCAUAUCCCUCUCUGUUUCAACAGACCUUUCUUGAUUAACCACCCCACAUGGUGCCAUUGGCUUUGCAAGACUCUUCACCAUUUUGCUGGUCUCUCAUAUUGACAGCAAUAGGUGGUUAGAGUUUAAAUUUCAAUGGGUGUAAAUCUUUUGAGGGAUUCAUAAGAUUUGUGGAAGAAAAACAAGAUGAAUGUUGAAGAGAGAUAAUAGGGAGUCCAGUUAAAGAAGGAAAGAUGGAGGUGAAUUGAAGUGAGAAAAUUUGGAUAAAAAAUGUGAGAGAGAAUUACGGGUAAUGGAGUCAAAUUUAGCCAAAAGUGGGCCUCCGUUGAGAAAUAAUAGGAAGU